rnacentral:rRNA from 1 species
GACGAACGCUGGCGGCGUGCUUAACACAUGCAAGUCGAACGGAAAGGCCCUGCUUUUGUGGGGUGCUCGAGUGGCGAACGGGUGAGUAACACGUGAGUAACCUGCCCUUGACUUUGGGAUAACUUCAGGAAACUGGGGCUAAUACCGGAUAGCAGCUCCUGCUGCAUGGUGGGGGUUGGAAAGUUUCGGCGGUUGGGGAUGGACUCGCGGCUUAUCAGCUUGUUGGUUGGGUAGUGGCUUACCAAGGCUUUGACGGGUAGCCGGCCUGAGAGGGUGACCGGCCACAAUGGGACUGAGAUACGGCCCAGACUCCUACGGGAGGCAGCAGUGGGGAAUAUUGCACAAUGGGCGGAAGCCUGAUGCAGCAACGCCGCGUGCGGGAUGACGGCCUGCGGGUUGUAAACCGCUUUCGCCUGUGACGAAGCGUGAGUGACGGUAAUGGGUAAAGAAGCACCGGCUAACUACGUG